rnacentral:rRNA from 1 species
UACGUAGGGUGCGAGCGUUGUCCGGAAUUAUUGGGCGUAAAGAGCUCGUAGGCGGUUCGUCGCGUCGGCUGUGAAAUCCCGAGGCUCAACCUCGGGUCUGCAGUCGAUACGGGCGGACUGGAGUUCGGCAGGGGAGACUGGAAUUCCUGGUGUAGCGGUGAAAUGCGCAGAUAUCAGGAGGAACACCGGUGGCGAAGGCGGGUCUCUGGGCCGAUACUGACGCUGAGGAGCGAAAGCGUGGGGAGCGAACAGG